CUUGACAUCCAGCGAACUUUCCAGAGAUGGAUUGGUGCCUUCGGGAACGCUGAGACAGGUGCUGCAUGGCUGUCGUCAGCUCGUGUUGUGAAAUGUUGGGUUAAGUCCCGNAACGAGCGCAACCCUUAUCCUUUGUUGCCAGCGAUUCGGUCGGGAACUCAAAGGAGACUGCCGGUGAUAAACCGGAGGAAGGUGGGGAUGACGUCAAGUCAUCAUGGCCCUUACGAGUAGGGCUACACACGUGCUACAAUGGCGCAUACAAAGAGAAGCGACCUCGCGAGAGCAAGCGGACCUCAUAAAGUGCGUCGUAGUCCGGAUCGGAGUCUGCAACUCGACUCCGUGAAGUCGGAAUCGCUAGUAAUCGUGGAUCAGAAUGCCACGGUGAAUACGUUCCCGGGCCUUGUACACACCGCCCGUCACACCAUGGGAGUGGGUUGCAAAAGAAGUAGGUAGCUUAACCCUCGGGAGGGCGCUUACCACUUUGUGAUUCAUGACUGGGGUGAAGUCGUAACAAGGUAGGCGUAGCGAG
rnacentral:rRNA from 1 species